rnacentral:rRNA from 1 species
CCUACGAGCGGCUGCAGUGGGGAAUAUUGCACAAUGGUGGAAACCCUGAUGCAGCAACGCCGCGUGAGUGAAGAAGUAUUUCGGUAUGUAAAGCUCUAUCAGCAGGGAAGAAGAAAGACGGUACCUGACUAAGAAGCCCCGGCUAACUACGUGCCGGCAGCCGCGGUAAUACGAAGGGCGCAAGCGUUAUCCGGAUUUACUGUGUGUAAAGGAAGUCUAGACGGCUGUGCAAGUCUGAAGUGAAAGCCCGUGGCUCAACCGCGGAACUGCGUUGGAGACUGUAUAGCUUGAGUACUGGUGAGGCAGGCGGAAUUCCUAGUGUAGCGGUGAAAUGCGUAGAUAUUAGGAGGAACACCAGUGGCGAAGGCGGCCUGCUGGACAGAAACUGACGUUGAGGCUCGAAAGCGUGGGGAGCAAACAGGAUUAGAUACCCUUGUAGUC